AAAACAUAUUGGAAACCUUCUCUUUUAACCUUGAUAAUACUCAGGAAAAACCAAUUAUCGGAGAAUAUUCUUCUAAUGUUAUUUCAACUGCUGCUGAUAUUAGUGAAACUUCAUUUUAUGAUGAUGUAUUGGAAAAUUUCUCCUUCAAGAUUUCUCCAUCAAAAGUUGACAAUAUUAAAG